ensembl:lncRNA
AUAUGAUCUCAGUGAAAUGUGCAAACAAUCACUGUGCGAAUAGUUGGAAGGCAAAAGGAAUUGCUGGGAUUCUGGGAGAAAGCAGGAUGCAAGGCUUGAUUUCUUUGUUGUGUGUGGAUUUGUGCAUAAAUGUCCACUACAAAUUUGCUGUUUGCUCUCAUUUAAAGUUAUUUUGGAAAAGCCUCCUCGGGCUUAUGGGUGAGAUGGUUUGACAACAAGCGUUCAAAUGCUCUGCUAUGUGAAGGACAGGUCUCAAUUCUGCUCCUUCAGCUUCAGUGACAGCUGAUUUGUCCACUGCGCAAUGCUCUUCAAAUUCUCCUUUUCUGUAUGCGGGGUCUAAGGAGAGAAGGUUAAUAUAUUUUUCUGCAAUAAGAUUAGAUUUGGCUUGCAAGCGAUGUGCUGAGAUAGGCCACAUUUUAAAUAUUUGUAAAUGGUUUGACUUUUGGUUUAAUUCAGCUGUCUCUGACUUUCUGAGUAUGUUCCUCUGCUAAAAAUGGGGUGGGGAGAGAGGAACAGUUCAACUGUGAGCUAUUCUUCAGAAAACUGGAUGUUUUGCCAUCCCACCAAUGUCAUCUGGCAUUAAUUAACAUAGCAUCUUGCUAAUUACAUUGUCAGCAUACAGCCACUAAAUUCAAAUACAAAGAGAAUUGUUAAAAUGUCCCGAUUUAACUCUGGUAUUUCUUUUAAAGCAUCAUUCUUCAAGUUUUGUGUAUAUGGGACAUCAUCCAAAGCCAAUGAAGUUAAUGGGCUUUCUUCAGAUUUGGCCCAAAAACACUUGGAAAAAUCAGCAUUGUGUCCAAACUGCCUCUCUAAAUCAAGCACUUAGGUACUUAGCUCCUAUUGUUGGUGCAGCACAUCACCCAGGACACCCUGAUAUGCAGCUCUGUGGACCUGAUCUGUCUCCUAUGGGACUGAGGACAACAUGUGAAGGGGAAAGAGAGCGCUUGCAUGUUGCUACAAUCUGUGUCCUUUGUGUUGUGUGAGGGCUGGCUGCUCGGUGAUGCUCUCCUGAUGAAUUCUGUGACUCCUUCUUGAGUUGGGGAGAUCUGGGGAGAAGGAUGAGUGCCUGAGCAGAUCCUGUACUUUGCCCAAAGCAAAACAGUUAGAGUCAGCAAAAAUCUCUCCUACUUAAAGCGCUGUGCCAGCAGUGAAGGGAUUCUACAUGUGUGGCUGAGCCAGGGCAGGAGCCACACUGGAGCCAAACACUGGAUUAAUCCUGCCUUUUAACAGAACCUGGAGCGCAGUCCUGCUCUCAGGAAAUGGCAGUUCUGUCACCUGUACAUGUCUCGCUCUGCGUUAGCUUCACCUUCCCUUCAGCAUCGCUGGCCUUCACUCACUAGCCUUCACACACAUCCCUGAGUAUUAUUAAAAUCCUUGAGACCUCGCUGAUUUCUAGCUCACCAAGGGUUUUCUUUCUCUGGAGUGUGGUAAAACUAUACAUCUCCUUGAGAUAAUCAGAAACACAUGGAAAAAUAUUAAAAUGUUGCAUAAGGAGAAAAAGAAUGAAUUUCUUUCUUUCCAGCUACUCUUUUGCUGGAGACUUUUUACUUCAGGAAAAAAGAAAUUGCUGUCAGGGCUUUGGAAACUACAUCCUUUUUUCCACCCCGAUGGUCUUUUGCCUGUUUUACCUAGACCUCUAGGUUGGGCGUGUUGCUACAGCUCAGGACAGUGCAUGAGGACCUAAUGGGUCUUUUUUAAAGAAGUUGAAAGCAUUCCAGCAGAAGUAGCUGUUCACAUAUGUCUUGGACAGGAUGUAUUUCCCCAUCUCUCCUGGGAAAAUGAAAGCAGAAUCCCAGGGCAGCCUUCAUCACAAACUGCUGCAUUUGGGAGGUGGCUCUGUCGGGGUAUGAGCCAGCCCAGGAGAUGCAGUUGCUGGAAAAGCCAGAAAACCUGCACACAGCAAGAGGUCCUGCAUGAGUGGCACACAUAUGCAGCAAUGGGGCUAGAACAUGGCCCACAGUUGGGCUGUCCAAAUGUUGGCAGCGUGGAAUCCUCGUGACUUCAGUGUUCAUGCACACCAACGCCAAAAUCUGUGCGGUCACAGUGCAUUUACCACACCACUAAAUCACAGUGAUGGGAUUUUAUGUGGGGAGAGAGGCAAGCAUCAUCCUCGUUCCCAGUCACAGAGCCCUUAAAACAGCCUGCUUGUACUCUUAGUAGAUUAUCUUGUGAACCAAAACCAAGAAUGAAUAUACUAAUUUUUGUGCUCUCACUUGGUAGAAGGUAAACUACCUGGGACAAGUCCUGUGGCCAGACCCUCCAGCAGCAUGGCGAGUUAUGGUACAAGCAGGGUGAUACCAGCAUGUCUCCUUAUAGCAGAUUCUUCUUCAGUGCAGCAGCAGCAACAGCAUGUCUUCCCACACGCAGCUCCUGCCCCUUGCCUCACCAUCCUGCUCUGCUGUCCUUGCGCAACACCUCCAGCCAGACCAAUUACACUUACCUUAAUGCAUGUGUUUUACAGCAACCUGCAAAGCAAUUAUUUGAUCUCAGUUUAGACCUUUAGUUGCUACUAUAAUACAUGUGAUAAUAUAAAAACAAACACAGAAAGAAGUAGCAUGUGUCUGCAGCACCGGCAGCAGCAGCACAGAUAACUGUUUCCUCGCACCUACACACACUCCAAUGCUAGAAUUGCAUUUUCAGCAAAGGUCACCAUCAUGGAGAUAGUAGGUCCUGCUUUGCUGCACUGUAACUCAG